ACUACGCAUACAUAUCAGCCUUCACGAGGCGCGUAGUGAACAACUGCAUAGUGCAGGCCAAUGAUAUG
rnacentral:ribozyme from 1 species